CAGUCGCCGCGGUAAUACGAAGGGGGCUAGCGUUGUUCGGAUUUACUGGGCGUAAAGCGCACGUAGGCGGACUUUUAAGUCAGGGGUGAAAUCCCGGGGCUCAACCCCGGAACUGCCUUUGAUACUGGAAGUCUUGAGUAUGGUAGAGGUAAGUGGAAUUCCGAGUGUAGAGGUGAAAUUCGUAGAUAUUCGGAGGAACACCAGUGGCGAAGGCGGCUCACUGGACCAUUACUGACGCUGAGGUGCGAAAGCGUGGGGAGCAAACAGGAUUAGAUACCCCAGUAGUCCCUGUCUCUUAUAC
rnacentral:rRNA from 1 species